rnacentral:lncRNA from 1 species
CAUUGUGCCUAAACCAACAUCAAAGCUAAUUUCAUUCAAAUUUCCACCUGCAAUAGCCAUUCAUAAAACAUCACUUGAGCAUUUUCACUAAAUUAACCAAUUAACUAACUUCCAACUCAGUGAGUUAUGUACCUGAACCCACUGAGUUCAUCCUAACUAACUCCAAACCUCUUUUAACUAACUCCAAGCCUCAUUGAUCCCAAGCCUAAUAUCUAUAAAUUCUCAUCUUCACCAUCAUUUGAAGGGUCUACUAUUCACUUCACUUUUUACUACUUUCACCAUUUUCUACAAAUAUCACCUUCAACUUUUCUCACUUCAUCUUCUCCAUUUCUUCACCCUACACCAAAGCUCAAACCACCAUUGGAGCAAGCUUCAUAUUGAAGUUUGUUAUCAAUUGAGCUAAACCUCUUACAUUCAAUAAUCAUCCCUACAUUCACAUGAUUAACGUCAACAACAACUCUUCGGUUCAGAAUUUUCAGAGUUGAUUCUUGAAGAGGAGGAGUUCAUGGUAGAAUGAGAAGAUUAAAGGUUCAAAGUAGCAUAAUCUCUGAUUUUCUCUUCUUCAUCUUCAUCACUUCCAAAUUGCAACAAAUUCCAAGACAAUCCUCCGUCUUGUAGGUUGGUGAAUGUUCAUCUUUCAUCUGUGCUUGUUUGCUGAAUUUUUAUACCAUAUAGUGGCUUGCGUAGUGGAGAAUCAUAACCCCAAGGUUUGAUGGUUUGAUUCUCCUACACCUCCAUUUAAUUGAAGAUUUUGUUCUUAGGGUUCUUGACCUUAUUGGCUUAAUUUCCAGCAUUAAUUAAUUUGUGGUUAGAAUGACUGAGGGAUUAGGACAUAAGAGGUUGAGAGUAGUAAGAGAUUGAUGCUUUUUCUUGAUUCCGGCCAGCUCCUCUGCCUCCGGCACGGUGGUGCCAGAAUUCCGGUGGUGGUUCUGUUUUGACAUGAAUUCGAAGAUGAUGUGUAGAGAUGAGAGAGUGAGUGUUGAUUUUUCCACAUGUCUCUUUUCAAUUUUUGGUGGGCUUAUCAUUAAGCCCAAUACUCUGCUUUCU